AGAGAGGGGGGGGUUGAAGUGUCUAUGGCGUAAGCGUGACGCCAUGGAAACGCCAAUGGGAACAGAUGGAAGAAAUAAAAAAGGGUAGAGAGAGAGAGAGAGAGAGAGAGAGAGGGAAGAAGAAUUGAAGAAAGGUAUUCCUUUCCGCGUAGACAGAUAGAUAGAUGAGCCUGAGAGAGAAAGAAAGAAAGAUCAGAAUUCAGAAACUGUUUGGGAUUAUUAAAAAGAGAAAAAAGAAAAGAAGGGUUCUCAACUUCAAUCAAUACUCUCUCUCUCUCUCUCUCUCUCUCUCUCUUUUAUCGGGAAUUCUGAAGAGAAUCUGUAACAACGACGACAAACGCUCCCUUUGACACCCGGCCAAUCUAACAGGAGUAGAGAAAAAAAGAAAAAAAGAAAAAAAGAAAAAAAGAAAAAAAGAAAAAAAGAAAGAAAGAAAGGUUAAGGACUCUCUCUUCUUCUUCUUCUUCUUCUUGUCCUUCUUCUUCCCUUGUUUUCACUCUCCGUUCACACCUUAUUCUUCCCUUUAUCCUUCAUCUCUUUCUCUCUCUUUCACCACCUUCUCUAUCUAUCUAUCUACCUAUCUAUCUCGAUGAGCUAUGGAAGGGGGUCAUCCUCAUCCUCAUCCUCAUCAUCAUCAUCAUCAUCAUCAUCAUCACCUAAGUGUUAACAUGGUGGACACAGGUGACCGGUUCCCUCAAUGGAGUCUCCAAGAAACAAAGGAGUUCUUAUCAAUCAGAGCAGAUCUGGAUCGUACUUUCAUGGAGACCAAACGCAACAAGCUUCUCUGGGAAGUUAUCUCUUCCAAGAUGAAGGAAAGGGGUUACACUCGUAGUCCCGAGCAGUGCAAGUGCAAGUGGAAGAACCUAGUAACUCGUUACAAAGGAUGCGAAACCAUGGAGACUGAAUCGAUGAGACAACAAUUCCCAUUCUACAAUGAGCUUCAGGCAAUCUUUACAGCCAGGAUGCAGAGGAUGUUAUGGUUGGAAGCAGAAGGUGGGGGUGGUGGUGGGAGUGCUGCCGCCGCUGCCGGCGGCCGUUCUAAGAAGAAAGGGGUCAGAUUAUCUUCUGAUGACGAAGAGGAUAAUGAAGAAAGUGAUGAGGAUAAUAAGGUUAGUAGUAAGAAGAAGAGGAAGGGGAAGACCACUAGUACUACUACUAGUGGUGGUGGGAGUAGUAAUAGUAACAAUUUGCAGGAGAUAUUAGAGGAGUUCAUGAGGCAACAAAUACAAAUGGAAGUGCAAUGGAGAGAAGCAGUAGAAGCUAGGGAGGAGGAAGGAAGGGUGAAAGAGAUGGAGUGGAGACAAACCAUGGAAGCUUUGGAGAAUGAAAGGUUGAUGAUGGAUAGAAGGUGGAGGGAAAGAGAGGAACAAAGGCAGAUGAGGGAAGAGUCCAGGGCAGAGAAAAGAGAUGUUCUUAUCACAACUCUACUAAAUAAGCUAAGGCGUGAAGAUAAAGACUUGUAGAUUUGUUUAGUUUGGCUUUUUUGGGAAGAGGAAUUGCAGCUACAAGAGACACUCUUGAGAGGUACCCUUUUGCAGCUCUCACCCAAAAAAAGAAAGGUACCCUUUUGCAGCUUUAGUAGUAGAUUUACUACAUUCAAGGCGUUGUGGUUGAAUGAUCACUCUUCAUAGUGGGAUUAUGGAAAUAAAUGGAGUUCCAUUGGCAUUUAGGGGGUUGGGGAUUCUGAAUCCCCUGAUAUGAAGGUGCAACUAAAACUAAUGGAUCAUAGCCAAAAAAAAAAAAAAAGGAGAAAGUUUCAAUAACAGCUGUGAGAGGAAUAAAGAUGGAAGGAAUUCUGAUUGCCCUAUCCAAGGAGGGAAAACUAGUCUCCACAGUACUCCUUCAGCAUUGCACCUUUCUCGAGAUUAGUCGUGUCAGUUCAUUUAUUUUCUCCUUGGUAAUAAGGAGGUUGGGAUGUUUGUUUGUUGAUAGUCUUCAGGGCCUCUUCCACCCUUGGGGGAAUGCCCAUAGGGAGUUUGGAGGGCUGACAUUUCUUGUAUGUAUAUGUGUUUGGACAAAGUUUUUCCUUCACCCAUGGCUGAAUGAUGGGAUGAUUCAGAUGUGA